GAUGUGGUUAAUGAUGCAUAAUCUUUUUUCCCCGUCUUAUCGACUAUGGUGAGAACAAACUCAAACUAAGCCAGUUAUGUCUGAAACCACAUC
ensembl:snoRNA small nucleolar SNORD12/SNORD106